AGAUUAAGUUAUUAAGGGCGCACGGUGGAUGCCUUGGCACUAGAAGCCGAUGAAGGACGUUACUAACGACGAUAUGCUUUGGGGAGCUGUAAGUAAGCUUUGAUCCAGAGAUUUCCGAAUGGGGGAACCCAGCACGAGUUAUGUCGUGUUAUCCGCAUAUGAAUUCAUAGUAUGUGAGAAGGUAGACCCGGAGAACUGAAACAUCUUAGUACCCGGAGGAAGAGAAAGAAAAAUCGAUUCCCUGAGUAGCGGCGAGCGAAACGGGAAGAGCCCAAACCAACAAGCUUGCUUGUUGGGGUUGUAGGACACUCUAUACGGAGUUACAAAAGUAUUUGUUAGACGAAUAACCUGGAAAGGUUAAUCAGAGAAGGUAAUAAUCCUGUAGUCGAAAACGAAUAC
rnacentral:rRNA from 1 species